GUCUGUGGCCAUGCCACCCUGAACACGCCCGAUCCCAUCUGAUCUCUGAAGCCAAGCAGGGGGGGGCCUGGUUAGUACUUAGAUGAGAGACCACCUAGGAAGACCAAGUGCUGUAGCUG
rnacentral:rRNA from 1 species